rnacentral:rRNA from 1 species
GACGAACGCUGGCGGCGUGCCUAAUACAUGCAAGUCGAACGCAGUGGGGACGGGUGAGUAACACGUGGGUAACCUCCCAUCAGAGGGGAUAACAAUUGGAAACAGGUGCUAAACCGAUACUGAUGGAUGGACGCGCGGUGCAUUAGCUAGUUGGUGAGGUAACGGCUCACCAAGGCCACGAUGCAUAGCCGACCUGAGAGGGGUGUCCUCCCCACUGGGACUGAGACACGGCCCAGACUCCUGCAACACUCUCACUUAACUAAUCUUCGGCAAUGUACGAAAGUCUGACCCAGCAACGCCGCGUGAGUGAAGAAUUUUUUCGGAUCUUAAAGCUCUUUUGUUAGAGAAGCGGUAUCUACCCAGAAAGCCACGGCUAACUACGUGCCAGCAGCCGCGGUAAUAC